rnacentral:misc_RNA from 1 species
GUAUUGAGCUCUGCAUUCGGCCCCCCCCCUCCAGCUCCCCCACAAAUUCGUUUAAAUGGAGGAAUUCAAUGUACAGAAGCAGAGCAGCCUCAAGGCGGACAAGUGGACCAGGCGCGUCCUUUCUCUUCACCCCAAGCUUGGCAUCGCCGCCAUCACAGACCGUGGCAGGCCAGAGGACAGGUUUCACGAAUGCAUGCGCGUCUCCAGCAUGCAGAUUUGGCCGCAGUACAAUAAGAAGCACGUCAAGGAGAGCUUCUCGUCGAUGGAGGUGAUGCUGACGGUGCGCAUGAAGGGAAUUCCUGCAAAGGUGGGGGUGCGUGAGAAGCAGAGCGCCACCGGCCCAGUAAAGAUCUACCGCUACACGAUGAAGGGGCCCGAGGCGGAGAAGCACACGUGGAUGCUGCGCUUCAACAACUACGAAGACUUUGAAAAGGCCGUGAACCUCGUUCAAUCCAUGCAGACCGUUGAAAACAAUUCUCUCGUCCGGUAUGGCGAGACUCAUCGCCCGGAGGAGGGAUGCGAGGGAGUCGCCGACGAGGUAGAAGUGGAGGAAUUUCUUCCACGCCCGGUCAUGUACGGCAACGUGGAGGACGAACUGGCACCGAUUCGCGCACAGUGGCAGCAAGCACGGCCCAAGUAAGGCGCGCGCGCUGGGAUCGAAACGAGGCAAACAGCGAUACAUUGUCGGCUGAGCGGAUAAUCUUUCUGCUAUCGAGACCCGGGUCUUUUGCUUUUCACAGUUUUGCCUGAGGCACCUGCUCAGGGCGAUGGCGCCCCACCUCUUCUUUCGGUGUGCCUGCGGUUGCCGUGCUUUGCCGGGUGAUCGCUUGCACCCUUCGAGGAGAGCGCGUCGAGCUUGUUGUCGGGAGCGGAAGGUGCUCAGGUUUCUGUCGAUUUGUCUUGUAAUGCCUCCUGGCGCUCAUUCGCUUGGCGUGCUGUCUUUUCUUUCGUUUCUUUGUUCUCUUUCACAGUCUAUUGUAUUCCAUGUCGGCUGAGAAACCAACAACUCGCACAGACGCGCGCAUCCUACGCACGCCCUCGCGGAGAAGGACAUGCGAAGAUGAUGCCCCGAGACGCACGCGCUCUCGACUACACGAUCCUCCUCGCUCCGUCACUUCUUCCCCCCCCCCCCACCCCCACCCCACCCUCACCUUUUUGUGCUUUCAUGCACCCGCUCCACUGGUAGAAAAGCGCAUGCGCGAUAGACAACGGCCGUCGUGCCUGCUCGAGUGCCUCUCUGUAUGUGUCCGUGUGAGCGGGUGUGCCUCGCCCUCCCUUGCUGCUUCCUGCCCUCUCUCGCGUUCUUCUAUCUCCUUGCGCGUCUUCUCGAGCUGGCUCUCUUGAGGUGUUCCUCCCUUUCCAGUGCUCACGUUCUUUGUGCGCCGUUGUCUCGAAGGCUUGACUGAGAAGGACCUCUGCACAUGCGCCGACACGACUUUUUCUUUCUUCGCUUGCGUGCGUGUGUGUGUGUGUGUGUGUGUGUCUGUGUUCGGUCUCUGUCUCCACCGGCGAGAGUGUGUGCACCCUUCUGAGGGGCAAUCUCAUUCGCUCUUCUCUUUAUGCUGUAAAGCUCAUUUCUAUG